ACACAGCCGAAGACAGGAAAGAGUACACUUCCGUCGCUGAUGCAUAGCGAGCCGGGUAUGGUGAAAGCCGGUGAUGAGCAGGAAGUCGAAAAUCAUCCUCGAGGCAUGGCGCUGAACCCAAAGUAAGCGGCCACGGAUGCUCCCCGUUACAGGAGCCGCGUAUGAUGGUACGUCGUGAACCUUACGGAUGCCUGAGUACGUCAGAGCGUCGUGCUUUUGCACGGAACUUGGGUGGUAACGCGGAAAUCCAAUCCGUCCCUUUC
rnacentral:ncRNA from 1 species